rnacentral:rRNA from 1 species
CUUGGUCAUUUAGAGGAAGUAAAAGUCGUAACAAGGUUUCCGUAGGUGAACCUGCGGAAGGAUCAUUAACUAAUGUUUGCACAUUUUUGUGCAUAAACCUUGUGAAUUGGAGAACAGCGAGUAAUAUUUCUGUUUUCUGCUUAUAAGCCUUUGAGUCUUAAAAUUAAAAUAAUAUAAAAUAACUUUUAACAACGGAUCUCUAGGCUCUUGCAACGAUGAAGAACGCAGUGAAAUGCGAUAAGUAAUGUGACUUGCUUUACUGUGAAUCAUUGAAUUUUUGAACGCACCUUGCACCAUUUAUAACUAAGUGGUAUACUUGUUUGAGUAUCAUAAAAACCUAACCAACAACAUGUUGGGAAAGUGAGACACUAUAUUAUAUGUCUUUAAAUGGAUGUUUCCAACAGUGAGGCAAGUUCCCACUAACUGGAUUCAUUUGUACAAUGAUCUCAAAUCAAGUAAGACUACCCACUGAACUUAAGCAUAUCAAUAAGCGGAGGA